CCGCCACUACAAGAUAGGACCCUGGCCCACGGGUCGAAGACUGGAGAGGAUCGCCGCCGCCGCCGCCGCCGCCACCGGAGCCGCUUCAAGAUCGUCGCACGCUAGGACCUUCGCCAAUGGAUCUCAGGUAUAUUUUUUAAUUCUAAGUGUCUAACCAUACUUUUUUUAUGUACUCUAGAUGGGACCCAGGACCAAGGAGGAUCGCCGCCGCCACUACAAGAUCGUCGCUUCAAGAUAGGACCCUGGCCCACGGGUCGAAGACUGGAGAGGAUCGCCGCCGCCGCCGCCGCCGCCACCGGAGCCGCUUCAAGAUCGUCGCACGCUAGGACCUUCGCCAAUGGAUCUCAGGUAUAUUUUUUAAUUCUAAGUGUCUAACCAUACUUUUUUUAUGUACUCUAGAUGGGACCCAGGACCAAGGAGGAUCGCCGCCGCCACUACAAGAUCGUCGCUUCAAGAUAGGACCCUGGCCCACGGGUCGAAGACUGGAGAGGAUCGCCGCCGCCGCCGCCGCCACCCCACCGGAGCCGCUUCAAGAUCGUCGCACGCUAGGACCUUCGCCAAUGGAUCUCAGGUAUAUUUUUUAAUUCUAAGUGUCUAACCAUACUUUUUUUUAUGUACUCUAGAUGGGACCCAGGACCAAGGAGGAUCGCCGCCGCCACUACAAGAUCGUCGCUUCAAGAUAGGACCCUGGCCCACGGGUCGAAGACUGGAGAGGAUCGCCGCCGCCGCCGCCGCCACCCCACCGGAGCCGCUUCAAGAUCGUCGCACGCUAGGACCUUCGCCAAUGGAUCUCAGGUAUAUUUUUUAAUUCUAAGUGUCUAACCAUACUUUUUUUUAUGUACUCUAGAUGGCACCCAGGACCAAGGAGGAUCGCCGCCGCCACUACAAGAUCGUCCCCACCGCCGCAAAGGACUUCGAAGAUCUUUAAAUGGUACGGUAUAAUUUUUUCCUACCUAAGGUUGUGUGAGUGUAUUAUCGUGUUAAAUGUGUUUGUGUAAGUAUGGAUUUGUUGUUUAUUCCCUCUCCAAUAUAACCUUACCUUCACAAUUACGGUAUAUAAUUAUGGUCUAGAAACAGUAUUCUC